GUUCCAGCAAAAUCUGGAAUCCGGAUUAUCACCCCGGUCUAAAAGGGCAGCACAAGCCGCCGACAUGCGGUUUUUUU
rnacentral:ncRNA from 2 species